rnacentral:rRNA from 1 species
CCUACGGGAGGCUGCAGUAGGGAAUCUUCCACAAUGGACGAAAGUCUGAUGGAGCAACGCCGCGUGAGUGAAGAAGGGUUUCGGCUCGUAAAGCUCUGUUGGUAGUGAAGAACGAUAGAGGUAGUAACUGGCCAUUAUUUGACGGUAAUUACUUAGAAAGUCAAGGCUAACUACGUGCCAGCAGCCGCGGUAAUACGUAGGUGGCAAGCGUUGUCCGGAUUUAUUGGGGGUAAAGCGAGUGCAGGCGGUUCAAUAAGUCUGAUGUGAAAGCCUUCGGCUCAACCGGAGAAUUGCAUCAGAAACUGUUGGACUUGAGUGGAGAAGAGGAGAGUGGAACUCAAGGUGUAGCGGUGGAAUGCGUAGAUAUAUGGAAGAACACCAGUGGCGAAGGCGGCUCUCUGGUCUGCAACUGACGCUGAGGCUCGAAAGCAUGGGUAGCGAACAGGAUUAGAUACCCCAGUAGUC